ACCUCCCAGAUUCCUUACCCCUCAGACCUAAACACUGGUCAGAAUGGUUGCACGAGGAGGACAAGAACAAUGGAAACUGACUCACAUUCUUUUGUGACACACCAGCUAAUUUCAAACAAAC
rnacentral:snoRNA from 1 species